AGAGGGAGCUGUGUCCUGCUGAGGACUCUCUGCCUAUGGGUUUAGUGGAUUUCAGUUGCAUGCCAUGACAGAUUAUGCUGUGGAUUAUCUUCAGAUACGUGUAGGAGAGGCAUUUCAAGGGAAAUCUCUUCAGUGGAUGGCAAUAGACUGCACAGAAAAACUGUUUCCCCUCUUUCCUCCUUUCACAUCCUCACAAGAUAAACAUACCAUCUUGGGAAAUAAUACGUUUGCUAAGUCUCCGUACGUAAUUACCAGUUGAGAAGGAACCAACUGCAGUACCUCUGGAGAUGGAAGGAUCGGCGCAGGGAGGCGGAAGGACCCACAGUGCUGUUGCAGGUGGUGGUGGGUGCAGAGAAAUCAAAGGCUUCCUCCUGGAGUCAGAAGAGAAGAUUUCUCAGUCACUGAAUCAAAGUCACUUUGGUCACAAUUACAGAAACUAAUUUCAUGUACUACUUUCAGCAAUGUGUUUUUCACUGAAACUUUGUAUGUGAGAGCCAGCUCCUCUGAGAUGCCUUUGAAAACAUUAUCUGCAAGCAACGUUGAUAGGAUUUUAAAGCAAAUUUCAAAAUUCAUGUAAUACAGUAUCUAAAAUCUUAACAGUCUGCCCCUAGCUGAUGCAGUAGAAAAGAAGAAUGAGCACAAGGUGUGUGAUCAGACCAAAACUUGGUGCCCAAUAAAAUGGUUAAUCUCCAUACAAGAUGGAGAUAAUGUCACAUGCACAAAUGGACCGGGAUCACGGCUCUCAUUCCUUCAUCCACAUCAACAGUAGAGAAAAUUACUGCACUAAGUUACCACUGUCUGCAGAACAACGACCAUACUACCAACAGCCAGCACUGCAGCUUCUUGAAACUCUGCUAGAAAUGUUUUCUAAACUGGCCUUGUAUUUUAUUCAGUUUCCAGGAUAAAUUCUACUUUUAUCAUUGAAGAAUUUAAUUUGAGAAAAAAAAGUAACAAUUGUAUUUUUUUGUUAUUGUUGUUAUCGAUAUAUCUGAGGUGAUGGAUAAAAUGGGAUAAAAUCAUCAAAUACACCCUCCUGUUUAACCAUAUUUUCUAACUAUAAAGAUAGCAUCGUCUCACAAGCAGUAUUAGUAUUACAGAUGUGUAUUUCAUACAGCUUGAAAGUGCUUUCUGUUUUACAUUUGCAUAUCUCAGUGCAAUAAUCCUAUCUCGAUAAGUAUGUAUAUACACAGAUAAAUUAAACCAGCCACAUCAAAAUCAGACUAGAGAUAAUAAAGAAUAGGGAAAUGUGAAGUUGGCAUCAUGUGAGUUUAAAAGUUCUUUAUUUAGCUUGUGGUACAUUGAUACCAUCAGUACAACAGGCAUAAGUUUCAGCUUCAAAAAGUGCCUGAUAUAGUAAAAUUUUUGAAUGUUUACGAUAGCUGUUGUUCUGGCAUAAGAGAUUGCCUCAUGCAGUUGCAGUGGGCAGUGUGUUUUAGUAUUUGGUUGGCAAUCUGAUCAACGUGAAAAAAUGUAGAAGAAAAGCUUCUCAAGUUUUGUGUGCUUGUGCACUAGAGAUUAUCAGCAUGAUUUGUAUCUUGGAAAAUAUAGUACAUGCUAAGGCUCAGGAAGGACAUUAAUGUGCCCAUCAUAUAUCCCAUUCUUCAUUUCUUCAUAAGCUUCCUCAUUAGAAUGAGCUGGCAGGAGGAGGCUGCUAUAUUAGCAAAUACUUUUUGCAUGUUUGUGUAGGUAGGCACUACCGUAGCCACAGUGUCCCUGAUAACUACUGCACCAGCACAUACUUCUGUGCUUGUGUGGGUGAGCAUUAGUCUGGCCUUGAUGCCCACGAUAAGCACUGUCCCUCAGUCAUAGCCAGCAGCCUUGAAGGAAUUCAGAGUUCUUUCCACAGAAGGCUUGUGUCACUGCUUACAGGUUGUGUGCAAGCGGGUAGGAGAAGACGACUGCCCCAGGUUACAGAGAUGGAUGUAGCUAAACAUUUAACAAACCUUGAGAAUGAAAAUAAACAGCCUCUAUUGCAGUUUCCUUGGCGCCAAUGUUCUUCCUGUUAGAGCCCAGAUUUUGGCAAGAGGCUGGGAUAAGCACUUUGGCAGGCUGCUCUUCCUCGUGCUUUGGAGCAAUGCCUGACUGGCUGAUGACAGCCAUCAGUUGUCAUCAGCUAAACCCACUUUCAUGCAUUUUUUUUUCCAACUUAUCAAACUGUUUGUUUCUCUGCUGGUUCAUGGUUCAUAGAUCUGCCUUCCCGAGCUGCUUACUAAUCACUGACUCUUUUUGCCUUCCCUGCCGCUCCUCCAGCUUUGUCAGCUGUUCCACGCUGCCUAUUGCCCUUCUACUUUAUCUUUUUGUUUCUUUCAACAUACACAAUAUCAGUAUAGUUAAGAUGUCUGGUCCAAAGACUUCUGAGGGCUGAAAAGCAUGUCAAUUGCAUACAGAGAUUUACCUUAAGGACAUCUGUCUGUUUGCAGCACAGACCAUAGCUUAACAAAGGACAUCUUUUAGUUUUUUGGUUACAUUAAAGUGCUGGUCUCAAGCCAGAUCCUGACAAGGAUCAUCAUUCUCAUGAAACCAAUCAGUAUAACUGCAAUUCAUUUAGAGCUCUGUAAGCAGACAGAUGAAAACUAAAUGGCUUGGUACAUGAUACGAUCUCAAUCCUGAAAAAAAAAUACGGUUCUUCAAAACCCUGCACUGAAGAUUAGGUUUUUAACAAUGCCAACACAGGAUGUAUCACCCAUGCUCCAUUGUAGUAAAAGUUCAGUUUCGACUGGGAGCUGCAUUUUGAUUUUCCACCUCAAAUUUAAUGAUACUGAAGUAAGCUCGCGCCUUUGCUGUGGUAAAAAAAAGGUUUUACAUAAGUAAAAACUGAAAAGUUGUGUCACAUACACUGAAUACAGCUAUGAAGAUACCUCCUUGGUGAUGGCCUCAAAAAAGCCUUCCCAUGGACUAAAUCAAGUGAUGACAAAAAUGAUAUGGCAGGGGUGCAGUGCUUACUUUCACACCUUGUAAAUCAGAGUGACAAGGUAUUAUUCUAUGGCAUUCCCCAGAGAGAAUCCUCCAUAUGGUCUCAGCAGAGAUUUACAGAGGCAAGCAAGAUGACUAAACGACUAAACAAUAAGCAAAAUAAUAUGCUAAGAAGCUCUAUCUAAUAUUGGAGUAAAAGGAAACAAAAUAAUCUAACUGGGGCUAAGACCCACUUUGCUCUGAAUUUGUAAUAAGAAUUCAAAAACAUCUGUUAACACUUAGGCACCUUACACUGCUGCUCUGAUAAUCCCAGCACAGAUUAUUCUGCAAGGUCUUGCACGGCUGUUUCAAAACACUGCACUCACAGUCAUUCCACAGCAGCAGGAACAUUGUGGUUGGAAGCCAUAAAUGUCUUUAGAUCCUACCCUUUCUAACAAGGCUUCUACAUUUAACCUGUAAGUUUCAGGGAGACAUCCCAUAUCCUAUAAUAUAACCAGGCCAACCAGAUCAGCUGAACAACCAGCCUUCAAGAAUGAAAUUAUUGCUAUAAAAAUGGCAUUAAAAUUGUACUCACUAGCAUACUAGAAACCUGUAAAGGCUUUGUGCCUUUUUAGAUACAGACUGCUUCAAUAUGAAAUACGACUCAACAUAUGGCCUCUUUCUCAAUUGCUACAGCUUUAAGGAAAGUUAAAAAAAUCUACCUUUCAUCUAUGCUUGGUCUAAUAGACAUUAAGAUAAAAAUAUUUGAUGUGGGCUAGAUGCAGAAGGUAACCCAGCUGGUAACUUUCCGUCUUGUCAGGAACAUUAAGCCCACUCCCUGAAAUAAAUUCUUGCUCAGUUUCAUAUGUCUCCUUGGGCUAAAUACCCUCUUACAGGGAGAUGGAAGAAGACAGAUUAAUCAACAACCACGGAGACCAGGCCCAAAAAUACUCUGGCAGAGAUUAGGGCAUAAAUUGGCACAGUGCCUUGAAGUGAAUUACAUCCAUGCCACUGGACUUAGUGGCCUUCCUCAUAUGGCUUACUAUAUAUUCUUACAUUGACUUGGUAGCUAUCUCCAUUUAUUUACUUUUUUUCCUCAAGCAUCUUCAAAAUACAAAUAUCAUAACUAUUAGAAGAUUUCUAGUAAUGGCAUGUUUGGAACUCAGAAGCUCUCUCUCUUACUUAAUUUGGCUUUUACCCCUCUCUUUACUAGCCAUUUUGGAUUCACUUUGCUGUUCUUUGUCCUACCCAUCCAGUUUCCUGGUACAAAUUUCUAGCAACUCACUGUAUGCACGGAUGUUUGACCAGCUCUGAGCUUUGAGAAGACUUCAGAGGAAGUUGAUGAAUGUGAAUUCCAUGCAGAAAAGCACUAAAUUAUGAGAGAAAAUAUUCAGAACACAGCUCAGACUUGAACUGGAACUGAGUUUCUGCCAGCAGACUGACUUUGUACGGGCUGACAAGGAAGCUCCAUUGUUUGGUAUCAUCUAUCACACCAUGAGAAGCUGAAUUGUGCAAGUUAGUAUUGGUUCAGAAAGCACAGCUGUCUUGCUAGUAAUAGCCAGCACUAAACUAAACUGUUUUCAGAGCUGCUGAAAUAUCCCAUGUUCUAUUUUUUGUUUGCAGCAUGAAAGCUUUUAUUUGGGAUAUGACAAAUGGGAUUUCUGUGACCUCAGCUCAGCUCUAUCUGCUGAUAGAGACAUUAUUUUUGGCUGUAAUGCCACUAUCGCUUUAAAUAAUUUAGAUUGGAAACAUUCAGGAUGAAUUUCACAAGGAGAUGCUGGCAUUGGAAAUCAUCAAGUUUCCUAUGGCAUCCAGACCCAGGACGCUGUCUAGAAGGAUGAAGUUCCCACUCCGUCUUGUACAUAAGGAAAGGCUGUGCAAGUCUACUUGAGAAACUCAGCUACCACAGGGACUGUCUGCAGUGCAGUGCAGACUUCUCAGCUAACUUCAGAUUAGCUGGCUGAGACCCACUAGAAAUCCAGCUUUGGCACAGGAGCCCCUGUAGAUAUGCCUGUCCGGUCACCCUGGCUGCGAUGUGAGCCAUCAGAUCAGCUCUUGGACUGUGAACUCAAGCAAUGAAAAAAAAUCAUGACAGGCUGAUAACAAAUAAAACAUCCACAAACUGCGCUCUUUGACCCUGAGACAGCAAAGUCACACCGUGUUUUUCAGACUUGAGACAUGCUUGUUAGCAAGAAAAUUCCUAACGCGAAAGUUGUUGUGGAACUGUCAAACUUCAAGAAAGUUGGUUUGGAGGAAAAAAAAUGGCAUUGCAAAGCUCACUGCAAACUGAGAGCAGCUGAAAACAUUUGAAUUGAAGAAACUGAGGACCCUUUUGAUCCUGGAUUUGUUGCAUGCUUAUGUUUCUGUUAAAAACCAUUACAGCCAGUGCCUGGUCCAUUUCCAUCCAUUCAAAAUAUAAAAUGCCUCCUGUUAUAGCCAGUGAUGGUAUGUUUCUGAGUCAGCUUAUAGAUGGGGCACUGGAAAGACUGCUAGUUUUAGCUUUUGGAAAACAGCCAGCACUCAGACUUUGUAAAUCACUGAAAGCUCAGUUACUUACUGAAAUGGCUGACAAAGUUGACCAUCCUAUUCUCUGAGCACCAUGCUUUUAUCACCAAAUGCACCGCCACACUGGAGUGUAACUAAGUUUCAAUGGAAAACAAAAUUAUAGAAAGGCUGAGAUCAAAUUCACAUCCCACCCUUGGGAAUUUCUACCUACCAAAGCUGGAAGAGCUGCAAUGAGGAAGGCUGCACAGCUGCUACUCACAUUGAACAUUUUGGUGGAGGAAAAAUCGCUCUAUUAAAGUUACUUACACCCAACUGUUUUGUUGGGUUUUUUGUUCAUUCGUUUGUUUGUUUCCUUAAGGAGGAUCUCUCACAGAAUUUGCUGCAGAGGAAAAAUAAGUCAACAUUAGUUAAGGCAAGUAAUACAUUUUUCUUGGAAGUAAUCCUAGAUCUGCUGAGAUACUUGCAGAUCUUCACUGAUUUUAGCAGGCCAGAAUCUUAACCACUUUUGACGAAAAGGAAAUGAGCUCCCUAGGAUGGCAAGACAUUUCAUUUUUCAUGUACUUAAGUAGAGGAAUUUGAAGAAGGUCAAGAGGCAUCCUCCCUAACAUGCAUUUAGUGAAACACAGUUACAGCCCCAGGCCUCUUAAUAGCCUACAAAUUAGGUAGAAAUCUCAGCUGUUUUCUGACCUCACAUAUUGUCUCAGGUUUGCUAUCAGCAACCCCAGCUUACAGAGCUACGACCUGAUCCUGGGCCUGAUCACUCCUUGUAGAAAGACUUCACCUUCUCCAUGCCUUCAUUCUCCAUGAAGUCCUGCAAAAUGGAGAAGAAAGUCAGAGAAAAAGCAAGUGUAAUUCUUUUUGGGGAUUCCAAAAAUGGACAUUAUAUCAACUGAGGAAAUGAUUUCCUAAUUUUUCCAUCCAAGUAGAAGCCCAGUCUUCACACCUGUGACUAAGGAAGGAAGCAUUCUUUGCCAAGAAUGAUGAUACCAUUGUUUCUGAAAGAGGUGUGGACAAAUCAGAGCACAACAAUUUAAGAGGUGUGGGAAUCACAAAGGCAAUUUCAGUUCCACUAGUCUGCUUUUUAUUUCUGGCAAUGUUUUUUUUCUAUUCUUCUAACAAUUAGAAAAAUAAGAAGGCUGCUUCUGUCUGCUGAAGAAAGACUUAGAAGGACCAUGAUCAGCUUUGAGCAUCGAUCCAUGUCUUCUUUGUAUCACAAAUAAAAGGAUUUUCAUAAAUUGUUCUCACUGUUUUUUUGUCUUUGCAAAUAUUAUUCACCAUUUUUGGUAGGCAUCAUGACAGAAGGAGUCAUCAUGAAGAGGAGUAUUUGAUAGCUGGAGAGAUGUAAUGGGAAGCAUCACAGCAACUCUGGAAGAAUGGAAAAAUGUAUCUUGGCCAUCACCAGCAGAGAAAAGAGGACAGACAGGACAUAAACAAAGGCAAGAACAGAAAAACAGCAGCAACGUCAUACAAAGCAUGGCCCAUAAAGCCAAUGAUCUUUGAUUUAGUAAAGAUUCUUAAAGAAGAGAGAAUUAAAUGUGAUAUGAACAAGGAGUGUGUCCUGAUUUCAGCUGGGAUGGAGUUGAUUUUCUUCAGAGUGGCUGACAUGAUGCUGUGUUCCGGCCUUAGGAAGGAAACAAGGUUCAUAACAAACCAAUGUUUUAGUUGUUGCUGAGCAGCGUUGCACAGAGCCAAGGAUGUUUCAGCUCCUUCUACUGUCCUGCCAGUGAAGGGGUCAGGGGGCACAAGGAGCUGGAAGAAGACAUAAUCAGGAUGGCUGACCUAAACUGGCCAAAGGGAUAUUCCAUACCACAGGACAUUUUGUUAUCUAAAAAACUGGGUGAGUUGGCUGUGGGGAACAGACAUUGCCUGGGGACUGUCUGGGCAUUGGUCAGUGAAUGGUGAGCAAUUGCACUGUACAUCACUUGUUUUAUAAAUAUACAUAUAUA